rnacentral:lncRNA from 1 species
CAGGCGCGUGAUGAAGUCGUCGGUGCGGUACGGGCGGAACUGGACCUCUGGGAGAAACGGAAUUCCGGGAAUUAGCACGGAUCCUGUGGGAAUUGGCCGUUAUCCGAGAAAAAUCCCGGAAUUAUCGACACAUCCCAUGGGAAUUGGCCGUUAUUUGACAAAAAUCUGGGAAUUAUCAAUGGAUCCUAACGGGAUUUGCCAUUAUCCAAUAAAAUCCUUGGAAUUCUCACUGGAUCCAAAACUGGAAUCGCUGGGAUGCUCCAAAGUUGGGAUUCCAGUCCCUCCCAGUCCAUCCCAGUCCCAUCCCAGUCCAUCCCAGUCCAUCCCAGUCCAUCCCAGUCCAUCCCAGUCCAUCCCAGUUCCAUCCCAGUCCAUCCCAGUCCAUCCCAGUCCAUCCCAGUCACUCCCAGUCCCUCCCAGUCACUCCCAGUCCAUUCCAGAGCCUUAUCUGACAAAAAUCUGGGAAUUUUCAGUGCAUCCUAUUGGUGUUCACCAUUAUCCAAUAA